rnacentral:rRNA from 1 species
GUCUUUGGCCAUAUCACCCUGGAUGCAUCUGAUCUCAGAAGCUAAGCAGGGUCGGGUCUGGUUAGUGUUUCCAUGGCAGAAUGAAGCAGUGAGUAAGAUUCAAGAGAGA